rnacentral:rRNA from 1 species
UACGGAGGGUGCAAGCGUUAUCCGGAAUCACUGGGUUUAAAGGGUGCGUAGGCGGCCUGACAAGUCAGGGGUGAAAUGUCAUCGCUCAACGAUGAAAUUGCCUUUGAUACUGUUGGGCUUGAAACAGGUUGAGGUUGGCAGAAUGUGGCAUGUAGCGGUGAAAUGCAUAGAUAUGCCAUAGAAUACCGAUUGCGUAGGCAGCUGGCUGGACCUGGAUUGACGCUGAGGCACGAAAGCGUGGGGAGCAAAC